rnacentral:rRNA from 1 species
CCUACGGGGGGCAGCAGUGAGGGAUAUUGGUCAAUGGGCGAAACCCUGAACCAGCAACGCCGCGUGAGGGAAGACGGUUUUCGGAUUGUAAACCUCUGUCCUCAGUGAAGAUAAUGACGGUAGCAGAGGAGGAAGCCCCGGCUAACUACGUGCCAGCAGCCGCGGUAAUACGUAGUGAGCAAGCGUUGUCCGGAUUUACUGGGUGUAAAGGGUGCGUAGGCGGCUUUGCAAGUCAGAAGUGAAAUCCAUGGGCUUAACCCAUGAACUGCUGUUGAAACUGGAGAGCUUGAGUGGAGUAGAGGUAGGCGGAAUUCCCGGUGUAGCGGUGAAAUGCGUAGAUAGCGGGAGGAACACCAGUGGCGAAGGCGGCCUGCUGGUCUCUAACUGACGCUGAGGCUCGAAAGCGUGGGUAGCAAACAGGAUUAGAUACCCCUGUAGUC